rnacentral:tRNA from 1 species
GGGCCUCUAGCUCAUGCUUGGUUAGAGCAGCGGACUCAUAUUUCGAUGUGCCUUGCGCCGGGAAACCACGCAAGGGAUGGUGUCAAAUUCGGCGAAACCUAAGCGCCCGCCCGGGCGUAUGGCAACGCCGAGCCAAGCUUCGGCGCCUGCGCCGAUGAAGGUGUAGAGACUAGACGGCACCCACCUAAGGCAAACGCUAUGGUGAAGGCAUAGUCCAGGGAGUGGCGAAAGUCACACAAACCGGAAUCCGUUGGUGCUGGGUUCGACUCCCAGGGGGCCCACCA